rnacentral:lncRNA from 1 species
GUACAUUGUCAAUGAGCAGUAACAUUUUGCAAGAAAUAUUUUUCUAAGCAACAGGUCUCAGUGGGCUUAAAAUAAACAGCAAACUGUGCUGUAAACAGACAUGCUAUCAUCCAGGCUUUGUUCCAUUUACAGAGCACAGGCAGAGUAGAUUUAUCAUAAAUCUUAAGGGCCCUAGGAUUUUUGGAACAGUAAAUGAGCAUUAGCUUCCAGUUAAAGUCACCAGCUGCAUUAGCACUUAAAAAGUGAGUCAGCUUGUCUUCUGAAGCUUUGAAGCCGGGCAUUGACUUCUCCUCUCUAGCUAUGAAAGUCCUAGAUGGCAUCUUGUUCUAAUGUAAGGAUUUUUCAUUUACAUUGAAAAUCUGUUGUUUAUUGAAGCCACCUUCAUCAAUAAUCUUUGCUAAAUAUUCUGGAUAGUUUUCUGCAGCUUCUCCAUCAGCACUUGCUGCUUGACUUUGCACUUCUAUAUAUGGAGACAGUUUCUUUCGUUAAACCUCAUGAACCAACCUCUGCUGGCUUCAAACUUUUCUUCUGCAGCUUCCUCACCUCUUCCAAACUUCAUAGAAUUGAAGAGAGUGAGGGCCUUGCUCUGGAUUAGGCUUUGCCUUAAGGGAAUGUUGUGGUUGGCUUGAUUGUAUGUCCAGAACACUCAGACUUUCUCCAUAUCAGCAAUUAGGCUGUUUCUUUUUCUUAUCAUUCGUAUAUUCCCUGGAUUAUCACUUUUAAUUUCCUUCAAGCACUUUUUCCUUUGCAUUCACAAUGUGGCUAACUGCUUGAUGCAAGAGGGCUAGCUUUUGGCCUGUCUCAGCUUUCAAUAUCCCUUCCUCACUUCAUCAUACCCAGUUUUAGAUGUAAGGUGAGAUAUGUGUGACUUUUCCUUUCAUUUGAAGAUCUACAGGCCAUUUCAGAGUCAUUAACUGGUCUGACAUCAAUAUUAUUUUGUCUUGGAGAAUAGAGAGACCCAAGGAGAGGAAAAAAGAAGGGGUAACUUCCAGUCAGUGGAACAACAAUCAGACAACCAUUUGUCGAUUAAGUUUGCCUUCUUGUAUAGCCAUGGUGUGUGGUGCCCCAAAAUAAUCACAAUAGUAACAUCAAAGAUCACUAAUCACAGAUCACCAUAAUAGCUGUAAUAUUAAUAAUGACAAAUUUUAAAAUAUUGCAAGAAUUUUCAAAACGUAACACACAGACAUUAAGGGAACACAUGUUGUUUGGAAAAAUGAUGCCAAUAGGAUUACUGGAUGCACAAUUUCAACAAACCUUCCAUUUAUAACACAGUAUCUGCAGAGCAUAGUAAAGUGCAGUAAAAUGAGGUCUGUCUAUAUCCAUUAUUAAAUCAAUUAGUCUAUAGAGCAAUCAUUUUCUUUAAAACAACAGAAAAAAUAAUUUUCUUGUGGCAAGUUGGAGCUCAUAAAAUUAUGGUCUAUUCAUAUUUAAUUUGCCUUUCAUGAUAAACUGUAUAUAAAAAGUUGUAAGUAGUUUCUUUGAAAUGAUUAGUGCAUUAAAGUAAAUCAGCUGUUUUAAAAUAAAUAUAUAAUAAGAUAGAAUGCUAAAGUUUUGUUAGAUAUUUUCCUAAAUUAUUCGUUAAGUGUAAUAUUACAUAUACAUUUUAAAUAUGUGUGCAUAUAUAUCAGUGUAUACUAAAGGUAUUCAUGUAUGAGCAUGUCUUUUUCAGUUGGUACAUUUUAUACUUUAGUGUAUUUUUCUCAGAUAUUACAAUGAAUUAAAUCAUACAGUAGAAACUUUAAAAUAUUUAGUACUGCUGCCAAAGAUACUAAGAGAAUUGAUUAUUUCCUUUCUAUAUACUUCAGUGUUAAUGUAAGUUACAUAACAUACCUUAUUUCUUUUUGUCCUACAAGCCUAUAAUUUUGAACUAAGAACAUAAAAAGAAUUCAGUAAAUUACUUUUGGUAGACUGCGUAUACGAAUAGACUUACCCACUUAUUUUCACCUGAAUACAUAAUUCUUCCACUUAAUUUACAUAGAAAAAUGCAUUAAAGAAUUUAUCUGGGUAAUUCAAACCAAAAAUAAAACUCAGAUAAAAAUAAAUUAAGAACCCAUUGAAGUCAUUUUUCUCUAAGCAAAAUCUUGGCCCCAUAUAAUGUGUUCAUUGCUGACUCAUGGAUUUAAUAUAUCCUGAAUAUUUUUAAUUUUUACUUCAACUUUUUAAAUAAAUGAAUCAACAGUGCUUCAAUAUAGUGAUUAAAAAGGUACGUUGACUUCACUUGUGUUAAUUAUCAGUAGAUCGGUGAUCUGAUCUGGCAUUCUGUUACACUAUUAGUAUUUCUGUCUUUGCAAACGUGAAAAAAAAUGUGGUGACUUCAUGAGAAUCAGGUAAUAUAGAAAAUUAGCUGCAGUUUCAUCACAUGGAUCGUUAUAAAAAGUAUCCAAGAAAGAGAUUCACUAUUCAGAGAACAUCCUAACUAGAGAAGUUGUUAUCACAAUUGAUAUAGUUUGGAUGUAUGUCCCCACCCAAACCUCCUGCUGAAAUUUAACCCUCAGUGUUGGAGGUGAGGCCUGGUGGGAAGUGAUUGGAUCAUGGGGCCGGGUUUUUCAUGAAUGGUUUAGCACCAUCCUCUUGGUGCUGUCCUCGUGAUAGUGAGUUCUCCCAAAAUCUGGUUGUGUGAAAGUGUAUGGCACCCUCCCCUCUCUCUCUGGAUCCUGCUCUCACCAUGUGUUGUGCUAGCUCCCACUUUGCUUUCUGCCAUGACUGUAAACUUCCAGAAAACUUUCUGGAAGCACAUGCCAGUUCUAUGCUUCCUGUACAUCCCGCAGAACUGUGAGCCAAUUAAACCUGCUUUCUUUAUAAAUCACUAGGUCUCAGGUAUUUCUUCAUAGCAAUGCAAGAAUGAUACAAUAACCAUAAUAACACUCAGCUCUUAUAGAUCAUAGUCAUUCAUCAUGCAGAAGAAAUGUGUGAAAAUAUUAAUGAUAACAUUUUCCUCAGUAUUUCUAUUGUGUCAAAGACAUUUUCCACAGGAUAAAUAAGAACAUAUAUAAAGAAUGAGGCAGGAAAGGAGAAGAUAUGAUACAAGUUUUAACCUUGAAAAUUAAUUAUAUAAGACUGGCAUGAAUGAUUGAGAGUGGGCAAAAAAUCAGGGGAACAGCUUACUUAACUUAUUUGAAAGGAAGAGAUAAAACCUAGUGACUUGAAUUUAGUCUUCAUUAUGUGUGGGCGCAUAAAACUUGGAAAAAGGCAUGUGAAGUAAAUUUACUACAAGGAGGUCUAGGUGUCAUACUAAAUGUUGAACAAGGUUAAUAUGUUUGGGCAUUUCUCUUUCAAAAUAAUAUAAGGGAAAUUAGUUCAUUUUGUCAAUAGUUUUUAAGUAAAUAUGAAUUAUGUAAUAAACAAUGAAUUAGGUGUUGAUUAAUAGAUCAUAAUUUUCCCUUCAAAAUUGUAUGUAAACAUGGCCCUUGUGUCACAAGAUCAUAAACACCUCAUAAACAGCCUCAUCAAUUUUGCCAGUACUCCCUUUAAUUCUUUGAUUCUCAGAUCUGUCUCUUUGAGGCACCUAUCAUGUCAUAGUCCUCGUGGAUUUUCUCCUCUUCUGACAUUAACUGUUCUCACUCUGCCAGACUCAUUUGGUGGUAGUUUGACAUGUGAUUAAAGAGUUCCGUAAUGUUACUUUCUUCUUUUUUUGGAAAUCCUUCAUCUUCCUCAAAGUUUGCCAUUCCAGUUGAUUAGCAUUUUACUUAAAUAAAAAUCAUAACCUCUUAAAGAAUCAACAGGCAACAACCACCAAAUAUGUUGAUGCAAUGGACAGAGAGACAUUCAAGGUAGGUGGGGUGAGAACUUUACUGGAAACUAAUUGUUAAAUGUUCAGUACAUUAGUUAAGACAACUCUUGCUUUCUUACACAAUCUUGUAAUUGCAGAGACUGGCUUAACAAUAACAAGGACACUUGAUCUUUUGGGGGAUAAUUUGCAAUCACUUUAAGUUUAUCAGAUUUUCUCCAGGGAAUGACAUUGCCAAAAAUCAUUUUUAUUUUCACAAAGGUUAUCUGUAGAGGAGUGAGUUAUCUCACUAAGCAAUGCAGGUGCAGUUGAAUAUUUCAAAAACUCAGUCCUCUAAGAAAUGUUCUAAAGUAGUUAAUAUUACAGAGGUCUUUAUGUUUCCAAAAUACCUUAAAAUUAUUAUUCUAUUUUUAAUGCACUGGUAGUUAUUUCAACUGAAUGUAUGAAAGGCACCAAACGGUGUUCCAGGAAGAAAGCAGGCCCUUGAUAAAUAUCAAUACCCUUCUCUUCCCUUUGGAUAAGACCACAGUGUUAUUCAAAGUCUAAAAGACAGCACAUAGAUCAAUUGGAUUAGAACUGUGUAGUGGGACUUCUAACAGUGUUUGAAGUGACCAGGACUUUGGGGAAAUGGAUACAUGUCUAGUCUGACAGAGUUACCGAGUCACUCAUUGACCCCUGUAGUGGGUUCCAAAUGCCUGUGAGAUGGGUAAAAAAAAAAAAAAUGCUGCCACAGAAACAAGUCUCUUUAUAGAGAGUUAAGGUCUAAUAUAAAAUAGAUAUAAGCCUUGGCAAAACAGAAUCCAUUCAUACUUUUAUUUAUUCAGUACUAAUAUUGAUCCUUUACUGUAUAUCAGAUAAUAUCAGCUGAAAUGCAAUAAUGAACACAAGUAGAGUCCACCCCCUUCUCAUGGUACCAAUGGAGAGAAAGACAAUGACAUCAGUGGACAUAUAGCAAAUUGACAUGUGUGCGCCAAGAAAAGGGAACAUGGUCUUUAAGAACAUAUGACAAUGAACAAGACUUAAGCACGAGAGCAAAGCAGAGUGCAUUCUCAUGAGGAAGAGUGCUCUGGCAGCCAGACCAGCAGUUGAAAGAGUCCAGAGGCAGGAGAGCAAUUGAGCGUUUAAAGAGCUCUAGGUGUGUGCCUGAAGUACAGGAAAUGAGGGAGAGAUGAGUGACAAUGAGACCUGAAAGGUAGGGGCCAGAAUAGGUUAAGCCUUGGGGACCAUUGGGUAUUCCUCCUAAAAACAAUGUGAUGUCACUGAUGGUUUUCAAUGUAGAGGUGGCUGGAAGCCCUAAUUCAUAUAAAGGUUGUAGCCCAGUGUGUGGCAUAUUGUAAAUGCUUCAUAAACAGAAACUGUUACUAUUGUAAUAAUCACUGUUGAAACUAUAACUUCAAUACCACAAUGUUUGGGGGCUGUAUUAGUCAGGGCUUUCCAGAGGGACAGCAUUAAUAGGACAUAUGUAUACAUGAAAGGGAGUUUAUUAGGGAGAACUGGCUCACACGAUCACAAGGCAAAGGCCCACAAUAGGACAUCUGCAAGCUGAGGAAGAAAGAAGCCAGUAGUGGCUCAGUCAAAGUCUGAAAGUCUCCAGACCAGGGAAGCCAACAGUGCAGCCUUCAGCCUGUGGUUGAAGGCCUGAGAGGCCCUGGCAAACCACUGGUGUUAAGUCCAAGGGUCCAAAGGCUGAAGAACCUGCAGGCUGAUGUCCAAGGGCAGAAGGAAGCAUCCAGCCCAGGAGAAAGAAGGAAACCAGAAGACUCAGCAAGGGAAGUUAUCCCAUCUUCUUCUACCUGCUUUGUUUUUGCUGUGCUGGCAAGCCAAUUGGAUGGUGCCCACCCACACUGGGAGUGGGUCUUCCUCUCCCAGUCCACUGACCCAAAUAUCAAUCCCCUCUGGCAACACCCUCACAGGCACACCCAAGAACAAUACUCUACCAGCCAUCAAGGCAUCUUUCAAUCCAAUCAAGUUGACAGCUAAUAUUAACCAUCACAGGGGCAUUCCUGGGGAGAGCUAAUAUUACAGGAUCACCAGAAUAGGAUUAUUCAAAAGUGGCAGCUGUCAUUAAGAUGACAUUUUAAAAGCAUCUUAUUGAGUUUCAAGGACAUCUGGAAACAGUCACCCAACAGAUAUAAAAAGGCAGGAAGCAUCUGAAGAGUUUCUCAUUCUGGAGAUCAACCUGUUUCUCCAACCUCAUUUGUUUGGAAGGAAAGUACACAGAAGCAGCAAACCUCAGCCUCUGAAGGGGCCCAACUCCUGACUCUACAUGGCUCAAGGGUUAUUUCUUAGCAAAGAAUAUGUAUAGGUUACAACCAACAUCUAUCAAAAAUAAAAACAAAGCAAAUUCCUAGUAA